UUGAAAGGGAAACGAUUGAAGUCAGUCGUACCCUCGGGUAAUCAGCCUUUUGGGNNNNNNNUUGUGGAGCGUGAAGAGUUAAACGCCUUCAUGCCUGCAUAUUCGUGCAUUUUGGGUGUACUUGCCCGUAUGGUUGGUUAACAUCAAUUUUGGUGGUCAUAAAAUGACUGGAGGAAUGUAGCUUCGAUCUUGUAUUGAAGUGUUAUAGCCUUCGGUAGAUGUGAUGAUCGAGAUUGAGGAUUGCAACGGAUACCCUUCGGGGCUACCUGUCUGAUCUCUGAUCGUUGCUCUGGUGCCGAAAGCUUGCUUACGGUUAUCAAAGUCGAUGGUCAAUAGGUUAGAACGGGUUAAAUUCGUUAAGGAUGUUGACGUA
rnacentral:rRNA from 1 species